rnacentral:rRNA from 1 species
CGCGGCCUAUCAGCUUGUUGGUGAGGUAAUGGCUCACCAAGGCGACGACGGGUAGCCGGCCUGAGAGGGUGACCGGCCACACUGGGACUGAGACACGGCCCAGACUCCUACGGGAGGCAGCAGUGGGGAAUAUUGCACAAUGGGCGAAAGCCUGAUGCAGCGACGCCGCGUGAGGGAUGACGGCCUUCGGGUUGUAAACCUCUUUCAGUAGGGAAGAAGCGAAAGUGACGGUACCUGCAGAAGAAGCACCGGCUAACUACGUGCCAGCAGCCGCGGUAAUGCGUAGGGUGCGAGCGUUAUCCGGAAUUAUUGGGCGUAAAGGGCUCGUAGGCGGUUUGUCGCGUCUGUCGUGAAAGUCCGGGGCUUAACCCCGGAUCUGCGGUGGGUACGGGCAGACUAGAGUGCAGUAGGGGAGACUGGAAUUCCUGGUGUAGCGGUGGAAUGCGCAGAUAUCAGGAGGAACACCGAUGGCGAAGGCAGGUCUCUGGGCUGUAACUGACGCUGAGGAGCGAAAGCAUGGGGAGCGAACAGGAUUAGAUACCCUGGUAGUCCAUGCCGUAAACGUUGGGCACUAGGUGUGGGGAACAUUCCACGUUUUCCGCGCCGCAGCUAACGCAUUAAGUGCCCCGCCUGGGGAGUACGG